UACGUAGGGUGCAAGCGUUAAUCGGAAUUACUGGGCGUAAAGCGUGCGCAGGCGGUUUUGUAAGUCUGACGUGAAAUCCCCGGGCUCAACCUGGGAAUUGCGUUGGAGACUGCAAGGCUAGAAUCUGGCAGAGGGGGGUAGAAUUCCACGUGUAGCAGUGAAAUGCGUAGAGAUGUGGAGGAACACCGAUGGCGAAGGCAGCCCCCUGGGUCAAGAUUGACGCUCAUGCACGGAAGCGUGGGGAGCGAACAGG
rnacentral:rRNA from 1 species